AUUGAACGCUGGCGGCAUGCCUUACACAUGCAAGUCGAACGGUAACAGAUCUUCGGAUGCUGACGAGUGGCGAACGGGUGAGUAAUACAUCGGAACGUGCCCGAGAGUGGGGGAUAACGAAGCGAAAGCUUUGCUAAUACCGCAUACGAUCUCAGGAUGAAAGCAGGGGACCGCAAGGCCUUGCGCUCACGGAGCGGCCGAUGGCAGAUUAGGUAGUUGGUGGGAUAAAAGCUUACCAAGCCGACGAUCUGUAGCUGGUCUGAGAGGACGACCAGCCACACGGGGACUGCGACACGGGCCAGACUCCUACGGGAGGCAGCAGUGGGGGAUUUUGGACAAUGGGCGCAAGCCUGAUCCAGCCAUGCCGCGUGCAGGAUGAAGGCCUUCGGGCUGUAAACUGCUUUUGUACGGAACGAAAAGACUCUGGUUAAUACCUGGGGUCCAUGACGGUACCGUAAGAAUAAGCACCGGCUAACUACGUGCCAGCAGCCGCAGUAAAAC
rnacentral:rRNA from 1 species